AUAGGUACUUACAAAACAUUUACCAAAAUAAGGCAAAAUUAGCGUCUUAUUUACUUCAAACAAACAUUUUAAUUCUAGAUAUCUCCAACAUUGGACAACAGAUCAAUUUCUAGUAUUUGAUGGCUACAAAUUCCGUAAAAACAAGAUGUUCCUUCCCUCAUGCCAUUUUGGGGCAGGGCUGACCUCUGCUAUUCUCCAGACUCCUUCACCCAACUAACUACCAGAAGGAUCCCACAAAAUUGAAUAUGCAGGCCAAGGUCACCUUGCCAUGAUAAAGCAUGCUGGGCUCUCUUAAAUCUCCCUGAGUCCUGACCUCAUGCUGAUAUUCAUAAAAUAGGUAUCAUAUACCAAUCUUACAGGCCUGGAGAGCUUCACGACAUGAAGAGCUUCAUGCUAACAUAUAAAAUCUCAAAUCCAAAACUGAGUCGCUAACGACAGAAGUCCUUAUGGAAACCAAGCUCAACUUCAGU
rnacentral:lncRNA from 1 species